rnacentral:tRNA from 1 species
GCAGAAGUAGCAUAGUGGCAAAUGCACUUGGUUUACACCCAAGUUAUCGCAAGUUCGAGUCUUGUCUUCUGCA